UCCUGCAAAUAUAGGAUUUAUCUGCGGUUGAAACAGACCGUCCAUGAAUGCAGUUUCUUCGUGUCCUCAAGGUGAUCCAGACAGGCUGGAUCAGAGGAUGAGAGACAUAUCUGGACUCCUAACAGCAGAGAACUUCAGCACGGAUUCCAAGGAAAGGACAGGCCUGAGAGACAGGACUGCUUCACCAUUUUCUCUUUCUCUGAGGGUCCAGAAGAACAUCCAAGAGGGAAAGGAAAAGCUGAUGUGAUGAGAUUUAAGAGCAGUACAGGACAUUAACUAAGAGACACUUAGGCCCUUUCACUAAUUCCCCUCCUCGAGACUUAGUCCCGCCCACAGGAGAUGUGAGCGGAGGAGCCAAGGAGGGGAACCGAGGAGAGAGGAGGGGAAGAGAAAUGAGAACUCCUCUCCGCUGAGCGGUCAUUUUAA